GUGGAAAGCUCCGGCGGUGAAGGAUGAGCCCGCGGCCUAUCAGCUUGUUGGUGGGGUGAUGGCCUACCAAGGCGACGACGGGUAGCCGGCCUGAGAGGGCGACCGGCCACACUGGGACUGAGACACGGCCCAGACUCCUACGGGAGGCAGCAGUGGGGAAUAUUGCACAAUGGGCGAAAGCCUGAUGCAGCGACGCCGCGUGAGGGAUGACGGCCUUCGGGUUGUAAACCUCUUUCAGCAGGGAAGAAGCGAAAGUGACGGUACCUGCAGAAGAAGCGCCGGCUAACUACGUGCCAGCAGCCGCGGUAAUACGUAGGGCGCAAGCGUUGUCCGGAAUUAUUGGGCGUAAAGAGCUCGUAGGCGGCUUGUCGCGUCGGAUGUGAAAGCCCGGGGCUUAACCCCGGGUCUGCAUUCGAUACGGGCUAGCUAGAGUGUGGUAGGGGAGAUCGGAAUUCCUGGUGUAGCGGUGAAAUGCGCAGAUAUCAGGAGGAACACCGGUGGCGAAGGCGGAUCUCUGGGCCAUUACUGACGCUGAGGAGCGAAAGCGUGGGGAGCGAACAGGAUUAGAUACCCUGGUAGUCCACGCCGUAAACGUUGGGAAUCUAGGUGUUGGCGACAUUCCACGUCGUUCGGUGCCGCAGCUAACGCAUUA
rnacentral:rRNA from 1 species